GUUCCCCCUGUGCAUGGUGGGUUCUUCCUCCCACAGUCCAAAGCAUGACUGUCAAGUUAAUUGGUCUCCCUAAAUUCUCCCUAGGUGUGUGUGUGGUUGUUUGUCCUGUGUGUCUCUGUGUUGCCCUGGCGAUGAACCGGUGACCUGUCCAGGUGACCCCGCCUCUCAGCCUCCUGAUAGGAAAAGGCUGGAAGAUGGACGAAUAUUUACAGGAUAUGAAAGUGUUGAAAUCCUCAGAGGUCAUCAGGUGCAAGGCAGCAGUAGCCUGGGAGUUCAACCAGCCUUUGGUGAUCGAAGAGGUUGAGGUGGCACCGCCUCAGGAGAAGGAGAUCCGGAUCAAGAUCGUGGCAACAGGAGUGUGUCAGUCGGAUCUCUACUUCCUGUGCAAAUGUCUGAAUCAGACGAUGUUCCCGGCCGUUUUUGGCCAUGAAGCAGCCGGUGUGGUGGAGAGCAUCGGACCCGGGGUCACGGAGUUCCAGCCGGGAGACACAGUGAUCCCGCUGUUCAUGCCUCAGUGUCGGGAAUGCCGCCUCUGCAAGAGUCCCAAGACCAACCUCUGCGUCAACGGGUCGGCCGGUCGAAUAGAUGAGCGGAGCUUUGAGCGCUCCAGGAUCAGCUGCAGGGGCAGGAAGCUGCUGCAGUUCCUGGGAACCAGCAGCUUCUCUGAGUUCACCGUGGUGAAGGAGAUUUCUGUGGCCAAGAUCGACCCGGCCGCGCCGCUGGACAAAGUCUGUCUGAUCGGCUGCGCCAUCUGCACCGGGUACGGAGCGGCCGUCAAUACCGCCAAGGUGGAAGCGGGCUCCAGCUGCGCCGUGUUCGGUCUGGGAGCCGUGGGCCUGGCUGCGGUCAUGGGCUGCAGGGCGGCGGCAGCCAGCAGGAUCAUCGCCGUCGACAUCAACCCGGAGAAGUUUGAGAAGGCCAAGGUGUUGGGAGCCACGGAUGUGGUGAACCCCAACGACCACAGCAGGCCCAUCCAGCAGGUCAUCCAGGAGAUGACCGGCGGCGGAGUGGACUUCUCCUUCGAAUGCAUCGGGAAUGUGGAGGUCAUGCGCGGCGCCUUGGAGUCGUGCGCUGCCGGCUGGGGGGUCAGCGUGAUCGCCGGCUGGACGGACAUGCAGAACUUCAGCGCCCCGCCCAUCCAGCUGAUGACUGGACGGAAAUGGACGGGAACUCUGUUUGGAGAUGAAUUUUUUCGUCAUGCUCAGCCCCCCGUGUGUUUCAGUCUGGACACGGCCCUGUUCUUAAAGGGACGGUACCUGAUGAUGCUUCCUCUGCUUCAGGGUUUAAAGGGAAGGACGGCGUUGCUCAGAUGGUCAGAGCUUACCUGGACAGGAAGCUGAUGGUGGACGAGUUCAUCACCCACAACCUGAGGCUGGACCAGGUCAACGAAGCCGUGGAGCUGAUGAAGAACGGCCGGUGCGUCCGGGCCGUGCUGAGCGUCGCUCCUCAGUGACGUCAUCGAGCGUCUGAACGUUUCCAUCCUGUUGCCUGAUGGUAGAAAAUAAAGGAGCUGAUCUGGACUCUGCUUUGGACUGACUCUAUGUUUCUAGUUCUACUUUGAUCUUUUGCAGAACAUAUCUAGAAGCUGAUUUCUCGUUUUGUCUUCAGACAAAUCUUCGAUAUAAUAAUCAUGUUCAUCUCAGUCUGAUGAUAAUAAUCUGAUGAUGACGUCCUAAAAGAUGAAAGGUGAUAAAGUGAAACUUCACUAAAUAUUCUUUUAAUUUUUGAUUAUUCCUUUGAUUAUUGAGUUCAACUAUUUGUUGAGACUUUUUUCUUUAUUAUCAUAAAACUGUUUGCUCUCAGAUUAUUUGGACUUUCUGUCGUAAAACUUUAUUCUUGU